GCCUAGGCAUUUUGUGUUUUGAAUGGAUUU
rnacentral:rRNA from 1 species